CAAUAGGCCUCAAUUAAACAGUCAUUCAUUCUGUGGUCUCGUUGACAGCUUCUCUGGGUAUGUGUGUCGAGGAGACAAAGGCUGUGCUUUUGAUUAAACAAGCUUGGGCUGUUUCAAAGACAUCAGGAACCAUUAUGGUGCAUGCAGUCAUAAUCAGAGGAAUGUGAAGGUGAAAGACCAGGAGCCUCAUCAAAGAUGUGUGCCUAGGCACAAGACAGACUCUAAACCUUGUGCGCGCCACUUUUCCCCAAAAAGAUUCAGGAGAGGCGAACAUCGAGAGCCAUUAGUACCCCGAAACACAACCCAACCAAGCCACACUGCUUCUUGACACACUGCUCACUUAACCCAGAAGCCAGCGGUACCAAUGUAUCGGAGGAAACACUGUCCAGCUGGCAACUGAAGUCAGCUUGCAGGCGCCCGGGCGCGCCACAAGGAGUCGCUAGAGCGCGAUGGGACAAGGAAAUCCCAGCUGGGCCAAACCCUCCCUAACCCGGAUAACGCUGGGACAAUUGUGCGCUGCCACAUGGGUCUUCCGGUCUGCUAUGACAAAGCCUGGGAUCAAACCCAGGUCUGUAGUUAUGGCUCAAGCACUACGAUGCAAUGCCUUAGACCUCGAGAGGCCUAUUCUACCAGCAUGCUUUUUUUGUUGUUGAAAAGGUAACUGCAUAAGAUUAAAACAUUCUGUCCUUUACAGAAAUGUGAUAGAUUUAGCUAUUCUGUAAAAAAAAAUGUAAACGGACAUGGCCCAGUUCCAACAUUUCCAAAUCAUACAGCAAAUUAGGGCGUUUUUGUUACCAUUAAAGGUGGAAGGAGGGCGUUUUCUAGGCAGGGUUGUGACGCUCCUUCACAAGCGCACAAACAUCGUAUGGCUCUGAUUCAUCAAUGAAAACAUGUGUAUAUGUUGUAUGCGACAGUUUGAUAAAUCCAAAUAAUUUGUUGCUGCACGCAAAUCCUAGAAUCUCCACGUAUGCCAGAAUUUUGUAAGACAUUUAUGCAUGGUUUAUAAACAAAGCCCAUGCCUAGAAAAGGCCUUUUAUGGUAACAAAAACACCCUCAUUUGCUGUAUGUUUUGGAAAUGUUGGAACUAGGCCAUGUCAGUUUCUAAAAGAAAGCACAAUGGCACAUUUUAGCACAUGUUUGUAGAGGUGUGGGCACAAUGUUUCAUCUAUGCAGUGACUUUUAAAACUAAAAAUGCAUACCGUCUAUAGCGAGUGCCAAACCUCGUCUGUGCUUUCUGCAAUAUUGAUUGUCUAUUGAACGAUUUGAAAGUAAAUGCUACAGUCCACAAUUCUAUGCAAAAUACAAAUUGUUAUUCAAUAUUUUGUUAAUCAAUAGAUGAUUGUGAUCUCUUGUCUUGG